ACGGAAGGCAGCAGUGGGGAAUAUUGGACAAUGGGGGAAACCCUGAUCCAGCGACGCCGCGUGAGUGAAGAAGUAUUUCGGUAUGUAAAGCUCUAUCAGCAGGGAAGAUGAUGACGGUACCUGACUAAGAAGCCCCGGCUAACUACGUGCCAGCAGCCGCGGUAAUACGUAGGGGGCAAGCGUUAUCCGGAUUUACUGGGUGUAAAGGGAGCGUAGGCGGCAUGGCAAGUCAGAUGUGAAAACCCGGGGCUCAACUCCGGGACUGCAUUUGAAACUGUCGUGCUAGAGUACAGGAGAGGCAAGUGGAAUUCCUAGUGUAGCGGUGAAAUGCGUAGAUAUUAGGAGGAACACCAGUGGCGAAGGCGCUUGCUGGACUGACACUGACGCUGAGGCUCGAAAGCGUGGGGAGCAAACAGGAUUAGAUACCCUGGUA
rnacentral:rRNA from 1 species